GUUUAAGUAUAUCUAGCCUACACUUAUACUUAGAUUUAUACUUAGAGACUGUAUAUGUACUAUAGUAUAUGUAUACUGAAGGAAAGGUUUAAGGAUACUUAUUUAACUAUAGCUAGAGGUUGGGAUAGAUAGAUGGAUGCUUUAUUUAUCCCAAAGGGGAAAUUCAAGAAUGAAUGUUGAAUGUUGAGAGGAGGUAUGAUAAGGUAUGAUAAAGUUAAUUUCAUAAAAUUCAUUUAGUAAAUUUUAAUAUUACACUUUUGAUAAAGUUACGGUGCUAAGGGAUAUAAAAAUACAUGGAGACCACUGGGGAAUUAUACUUCAAUGGCUUAAGUGAUAAAAUUAACAGGAAGUAUGUUUUGGUAGUGAGGAAUGGCAUAAUAUAUUAGACCAUUCACUGUGGAAUGCAGCAUAUGGACAGUAAGAGCCAGGUAUAGAAUUAUAUAAGAUAAUUACUCUAGUAAUGUUUAGAGAAACUGGGUAAGCUGACUAAUGGUAAAGGGAAUGCCAUGGUCAACCAAGUAAGUAUGGAAAUUUGAUAGUCACCUAUAAGGUAAUAAGUAGUGUUACAGAAACCCCAGGCUAAAGUAAAAUGAUUUAGUGUAAAGUGUAAUUCCCAUUCUGAUGGUUAAAGAGACCGAAAGGGAUCAGUGGGUAAACAGUAAAAUGAAAAAGUGUUGCAGAAAAGUGGUUGAGAGAAUGAGGAAAUAUACAGAUUUAUGGCCUAUACAAGAAUUAAUGGAUUUAGCACCGUUACAAAGAUCAGGGAUUACAUGAAAAUUGACAAUAGUAGAGCUAUAAGAAGAAUAGGUCAGUUAUAGUGGAAAUAGUAGGAGAAAGAGGUAUUUAAAAUGCUCAAAAACAUCUUGACAUCUUGAUAGAUUAAUACAAUAGGAGAUAAGAGGCAGAAGUAAGGAGAUGACUUGGGAGUGAGUGACCAUAACUGUAGGAAUAAUAAUAGAUGCAGAUGUUAUAGGACGAUAUAAGGGAUAAAAUGUACAGUUAAUGGUAAAUUACAAAAGGGCAAGAUAAAGUAGAUGAUAGAUAGAGAGUAAUCUAGAAAAUACUACAAGCUGACUGCAGCAUGAUUUCCUCAUUCCCUCCAGCUAAACAGUAAAUGUAAUGUUGCCUCUUAUAUCUAUGGGGGGAAAGGCUCAUUACCAGCCGUGUGAGGACAUGCUGAUGUGCAGGGGUUAAUCCAAGUACUCCCUGUCCUGACUGAGUUCUGAGCAAGUUCAGCACAACAGUGCUAAGCGACAAACUGAAAAUAGAUAAGGACUCUGAGGCCUUUGUUAAGGCAACAGUGGCAAGCUGGAGAGCAAAGAGGGAACUUGGAAGUGCAAUGGAAGCGCUUGCAGCAUCAAAAAGACAAUACAGGCACCUAUGGUGACCUAAGGCUUCAAGUCUGGGGAAACCAGUAGCAGCACCAUCCUCAACACUAUGGCAGUAGGAGCAACCAUCACAGGUGUUCCCAAACCUGUCAGUCUACUGGCCUAUGGAUACCUAUUAUAGUGGGCACAGUCAAGCCCAUGGCAGCCACAAUCUCCACGUCAGUGGGGGUGGAGACUAAGACAAGAUGGGAAUAACUAAGGCAGAGUGAGAGGAAAUUACAGAGGAGGCAUCAUGUGAGAAUGGACAUCUGAAUCGAGACAAUCAUCAGUUUGUUUUGACUGUCAAACAAGUGGACAAAAGAAACAGGACAGGGAGAGGGAGGAGACACCCAGGCACUGAAGGAUGAGCCCAACGAGCAUGCCUUCCUCUUCCCUUGUGAAAUAGCAUAGUUUUAAGGAGGCCUAGAGAAUUCUACAAGAGAAGGUGUAUACCAAUACUAUCAAAGGGAGUUGAUGAGGAAACCAUGAUGAGGGACUAUCUUAUGGGUGAGCCCACCUGAUACCCAGCGAUGCCCUGACUAGGUACAGAGAAGGUAGUUAAGACAUCUCAGGAAAUAGAAAAGCUGGUGGAAAGAUGUUGGUCUUCAUGGAAGGAAUGGAGGUCCACCAACUCUAUUCUGUUAAUCACAGUAACAAAGGGGGGCGAACCCCUGGUAGAAUGUUAAAUUGUAUGAUUUGUUACAUUUGUUACCUUGGGUUACAGAUUUUUUUUAUAAUUUUCACUGUCAGUAUUUGAUUAAUGUUUUAUUUGAAUGUCCCUUUGGGAAAAAAAGAGUCUGCUGAAUACAAUAACUGUAACUUUAAUGGUUAGUGGCAUUUAUAUGAUACUAACCAGAUACUUUCCCAACAGAUACAGUACUUGAUAUGGUGCUUUCCUUUGCGCAUAGUUGGGAUCUAUGCGCAAGGGGGGAGUAGGAAAGAGGAAUAUUUUUAUUGAAGGAUUUUCAUAGUUACAGGAAGUUAUUGAUGAUAGUCUAACAGAUGUCAUGUGUAUAGUCAUAAUAUCAGAAAGUGAUAGUGUUGUCUAAACCAUUAGGUCCCA